GGAAAGUUUGUUAAAAAAAAAAACAAUAAAGAAAAAUGGGCACUUAUUUCAACCGGGUUUUGAAAUUCAAAAUUUAAAAUUGUUUGAUACCCAACCCAAAAUGCUUACUGGUUCACUGUUGUCAUCUGAAACCUUUUGUUUUCUCAACUAUAAAUUGAUUCUUAUGUUUCUCUUUUUCUGUGCCUCUGAAUUGUUUUGUCUUCUCACUCUCAUUUUUCUUUUCAUUCAUUUACAAAGAAAUCCUAAAUUUGCCUUCUUAUGCACAACCCAUGCUUAGAUUCUUUUGUUUGGGAUUCUCACUCACUCUUUCGCCAAACUCUCUCUGUGUUUCCUCUUCUUUUGUUUGAAGAAGAAAUGGGUGUGGUUCCAAAAAAAAAAAAAAAAAAACCAUUAAUAAGUUUGAAGCAUUAAUGGAAGAAGGUCAUUUCUUCUUGCAAGGUUUUAGUAAAUCGGUCCUAAAAACCAUAGAAAUCUCAAAAGAAACCUUCAGUUUCUUCUUCUGUUGCAUAUUUUACUGUUUAAUGUUGAAUUUUUUUAUUUUUUUUUAAAUUUUGCGAGUUCCUAACAAAUUGACCAUUUCUAUUUUUGUUGUUGUAAAUCUUCGAGCUCUUUCUUUCUUUUUUCUGUAUUAUUUCUUGCAAUGAUAACCGUUUAAUGUUGAUAUUUUUUUUCCUUUUUGCGAGGCUUUAACAAAUUGUUCCAAAAUAUGGUAGAACCUCGAAAGAAAUUUGAGUUUUGUCAGUUGUGAAUGUUCAAGUUGUUUCGUUCUUUUUUUUUUUUUUCCAAUAAUUUUAACAAAUUGUUUCCAAAAGAUCAUAAAAUUUUGACAGAAAUUAGACUUUGAGGAUGUCAAUUAUGUUCCUUUAUAAUUUUGUUUUAUUUUUUGUCGAAUUCUAUUCAUGUCUAUUUUGAUGUUUUGUUCUUUUCCUUCAGUAUGUUUUUUUUGAAGUUUCUGUGCAAGUUGUAAAAAAAAAAAAAAAGAUUCACAUACAAAUUGAAGAUUAUCGAACUCAGGACUCAGGUAUGUCACCUUUAUAUUUUCUUUGUUUGAUGGUUUUUUUUCCAAAUAAUUCAUUCUCACUAUCCAUUACUUUUUGUUUCAGCUUUCGAUCUUCUCGAUGUUUGAAUUGAGCGUUAUAGUUUGGGUGAUUAUGUGUAUAGUUUUUUUAUUGUAGUUAAGGAAAUAUUUGUUCUUGAUAGAUUUGUCAUUGAAAUGAUACGUAGAUCAAAAUCUUUUGGUCGAUCAAAAGAUUAAGAAUGUUAUAAGCAUGAUUCAAAAUUUUAGAACAGAUUGAGUGCAACGAAUUUCUGUAGUUUUGAAAAAAAAAAAAUGUACCUCAAAAGAGACUUAAAGAGGCCUUUCUUAAUUUAGGUGGUUUACGAUGUAGAUCAUUGAAUAUAAAAUUUUUACCAAAUUGUCAUUUUCCAACUAUAUACUUGCGUGAAACUAAGGACUACAAAAGCGUAGGCUUGUGAUGAUUAUGCAACUGAAACCAUUAUGGAAAAGGGUCAAAUUUAAAUAAUAAUAGAAAGAGAUUAUCUUUGGAUUAGAAGAAAGCUUAGGAAACACAAUCAAUUGGAAAAGUAGUAUCAUAAGGGAAAAAGUGAAAAGAAAUCCCCACUGGAGACUGAAAUAGAACAUGAAACCGAACCAUUCCAUCCCAAGAGCAAAGAUGGAACUUGCUCGUAGGUAAAAGGUUGUAGGCCUGCCUGAUGAUACAAUUAGCGCUUGCAUAGCAUCCACUAAAGUUUCAUUAGGCAUGUUACUAAUCAAAUAAGAUAAGUUUCGACUAGCAUAGACAGUCUGUCACAAUAUAAUCCCACCGUUGAUCAACUGCACG
rnacentral:lncRNA from 1 species